AUUGAACGCUGGCGGCAGGCCUAACACAUGCAAGUCGAGCGGAUGAAGGGAGCUUGCUCCUGGAUUCAGCGGCGGACGGGCGAGUAAUGCCUAGGAAUCUGCCUGGUAGUGGGGGAUAACGUCCGGAAAUGGGCGCUAAUACCGCAUACGUCCUGAGGGAGAACGUGGGGGAUCUUCGGACCUCACGCUAUCAGAUGAGCCUAGGUCGGAUUAGCUAGUUGGUGGGGUAAAGGCCUACCAAGGCGACGAUCCGUAACUGGUCUGAGAGGAUGAUCAGUCACACUGGAACUGAGACACGGUCCAGACUCCUACGGGAGGCAGCAGUGGGGAAUAUUGGACAAUGGGCGAAAGCCUGAUCCAGCCAUGCCGCGUGGGUGAAGAAGGUCUUCGGAUUGUAAAGCACUUUAAGUUGGGAGGAAGGGCAGUAAGUUAAUACCUUGCUGUUUUGACGUUACCAACAGAAUAAGCACCGGCUAACUUCGUG
rnacentral:rRNA from 1 species